rnacentral:rRNA from 1 species
GAUGAACGCUGGCGGCGUGCCUAAUACAUGCAAGCCGAGCGAACAGACGAGGAGCUUGCUCCUUUGACGUUAGCGGCGGACGGGUGAGUAACACGUGGGUAACCUACCUAUAAGACUGGGAUAACUUCGGGAAACCGGAGCUAAUACCGGAUAAUAUUUCGAACCGCAUGGUUCGAUAGUGAAAGAUGGCUUUGCUAUCACUUAUAGAUGGACCUGCGCCGUAUUAGCUAGUUGGUAAGGUAACGGCUUACCAAGGCAACGAUACGUAGCCGACCUGAGAGGGUGAUCGGCCACACUGGAACUGAGACACGGUCCAGACUCCUACGGGAGGCAGCAGUAGGGAAUCUUCCGCAAUGGGCGAAAGCCUGACGGAGCAACGCCGCGUGAGUGAUGAAGGUCUUCGGAUCGUAAAACUCUGUUAUUAGGGAAGAACAAACGUGUAAGUAACUGUGCACGUCUUGACGGUACCUAAUCAGAAAGCCACGGCUAACUACGUG